AAAGUCGUAACAAGGUAACCGUAGGUGAACCUGCGGUUGGAUCAUUAAAAUAGACAACGUCCGAAUGAUGAGUGUUAAAUGACGUUGUAAAACUAAACUAUCUCAUACCACCUUUGUGAACUGUAUUUGUCUCUGGCGGGAUGGGUGAAAUUUCGGUUUCAUCUGUCAGCUUGGUCUUUGAUCAAGCCGUGGACAACCCGCCAAAAACUUGCAUCAACCUUGAUUUUUGUCUUUGUCUAACAUUUUUUGUAUAAAUAUACAAACAACUUUUGGCAACGGAUCUCUUGGCUCUC
rnacentral:misc_RNA from 1 species